AGCAGCCGCGGUAAUUCCAGCUCCAAUAGCGUAUAUUAAAGUUGUUGCAGUUAAAAAGCUCGUAGUUGAAUUUCGGAAUCUGUCCGUUGGUCGGGCUUCGCGGUCCGUACUGGCGUGGUGGGUUCUUACCUUCUGAAUAACCAGCAUGCCAUUAAUUUGGUGCGUUGGGGAAGCAGGACUAUUACCUUGAAAAAAUUAGAGUGCUCAAAGCAGGCUAGUGCCUGAAUACAUUAGCAUGGAAUAAUAGAAUAGGACGGCAUGGUUCUAUUUUGUUGGUUUCUAGGAUCACCGUAAUGAUUAAUAGGGAUAGUUGGGGGCAUUAGUAUUCAAUUGUCAGAGGUGAAAUUCUUGGAUUUAUUGAAGACUAACUUCUGCGAAAGCAUUUGCCAAGGAUGUUUUCAUUAAUCAAGAACGAAAGUUAGGGGAUCGAAGACGAUCAGAUACCGUCGUAGUCUUAACCAUAAACUAUGCCGACUAGGGAUCGGACGAUGUUAAUUUUUAAUGACUCGUUCGGCGCCUU
rnacentral:rRNA from 1 species